GGACUACAAGGGUAUCUAAUCCCGUUUGCUCCCCUAGCUUUCGCGCCUCAGCGUCAGAAGAGGUCCAGUGCGUCGCUUUCGCCUCCGGCGUUCCUCACAAUAUCAACGCAUUUCACCGCUCCACUGUGAGUUCCACACACCCCUACCUCCCUCCAGACGGACAGUAUCAAAGGCACUUCCGCAGUUAAGCUGCGGGAUUUCACCCCUGACUUGUCCGACCGCCUACGCGCCCUUUAAGCCCAGUGAUUCCGAACAACGUUAGGACAGUUCGUCUUACCGCGGCUGCUGGCAC
rnacentral:rRNA from 1 species